AGAUAGCCUAGGCAUUCAUCGUGUGAUAUCUAACAAGCUUUUCUGACAAAAUAGGUUUAUUACAGUGAUAGACGGAUGACCAUUCUGGUAUUAUCAUUGGAUGACAGAAAAUUGUUUAUGCCCUAGAAUAGUGAUAUAAUAAAAUUAUUGUCAGAGAAUGAAUGCAAAAUUCAUGGAAAAAAUCAGCUUUUUAUACAAAACACAUAGUUUAAUUCUUCACUGAAGAACUAGGGAGCAGGUUUUACAUAGUGUUCUGGCUUGUGCUACAUUUAACUUUCUCAGAAUAAUUCUUCAGUGGUAAUGAUGCAUGAGCUACAGGAUGAGCAGUUGCAAAACACAGUGCAAAAUCAGACCAUGUAAGUGUAAGGGCAGAACCAGUUGGAUGUGAGACUCGGGCGAUAAGAAGGAGGUGGCACUCAAGUCUUCUUUUUAAAGAGUACCCUAAUUGUUAAAAACAUCAUGCAAAAACAGAAAGUGAGAGAAUAUGUAACAUUACACUCAAUUAAGUGAAAAAAUAAUGAUUGGUAAACUAAUGACAAUUCUGCAGAACCAUUGAGACAUUAACACUCUAUAUCAGAAGAAAACUAUGCAAACCAAAUCCAAAGCAUCAAGAACCUGGUCAUACUCUUUCUGCAGGAGCAUUCCCCUCUGUGUGUAAGCAUAGCAGAGGCAGUAUGCCAGAGACACCUAGAAUGAGAUAGUAAAUAAAUAUACAUUAUCAGUAAAUUUUCAGACUGUUAGUGCUUAUUCAGACUCAGGAACUUCUCCUUCAUAUGAGCAAAACAGACAGAAGUUUUCAGAUGAAGCUUUUGUACUUGUAAACUGAUUAUAUUUUGCUUCUUGGCAAACUUCCUGGCAACUGAUUAUAUUUUGCUUCCUGGACUGGGCUCUGCACAAAGCAAGUACCUCACAGUGCUGUCUCUCAGGCCCUGUGCUCCUGUGAACCCUGUUGGGUCCACUUGGCUUCUGGCAGAGCCUGUUUCCAUCUCCUCCCCUUGCAAACUCUCAGCUUCUCUGUGUCUUUUAAGACCUUUCAGGGCCAAUGAGUGUUAUUGGACUAGAACCAUAAAGUGAUCAGCUUCUCUGGGGAUUUUACUGAUUUUCAUGGAGGCCUCAAUAACGAGUGUCAUAGGUCUCACUGGGCUGGCAGAAUAGGGUGUUCCUUCUUCAGUGGAGCUUUCUUGCAUUCAAGAGGCAUCAGUUCUUGUCUUUUUGGACUGUUCACAUACAUAAGUGCUUUCCAUGUUGAAGUCUAACAGGUCUUAUUGGCUGUGUCUAAACUUCAAAGCAGGUGCCCCCAUGAUGUUCCUUGGAGUCAUGGCCUGUUGACCAUCCAGGCUGUGAUAGCACCACAGGUCUCCCUGCUCAAAUGCCUAGCUCACCUUCUAGUGGGCACAGCAGAAGUAUGUGUAGCCAGAUUCAGACCCUAAGAAAUGCUUUUGGUUUCCAGCCCUUUAGAUGUACCCGGGUAAAUCCUGUUGAAUUUACAUUCCUUGUUACAAAGAACUUAAUAGCCAAACUGUUGUCAUGUUAACUGUGCCUGCAUACAAACUAGUCUGACAUAAUUUUAGAAAUUGAGUUUACCUUUUCCCUUUUCCACUGGACAUUUCAUAAACCUUAGUAAAACUGCAGUCAUAGUGGGGAAACUGCACACAACAUUCUCUGAGAAACAAGGAAAAUUUAAGGAAUUAAGGGUGAAACAAUCUCAUAUAAAACUUGCCCAGCUAUACAGUACCAUAAAUGCAUUUUGGAAAAGUGUUACAUUUACUAUCUAUUUUAAAAAGUGAGCACACAUUUGAUUGUCUUAUUAGGAGCAAAAGUAAUAUUUUUCAAUAAUAUGCUAGGGCACUGUUUUCAAACAGUUGGAGAAGCAUUGUUUGAAUAAACGCAAUGUGUUUAUAUUAUGAAUGCUUUCCCUAGAGGUUACACUACCUUCUGAUGAUUGAGUCUAACUCUGUUUAACUACUUUGACAAGAUUCUUGCCUGAAGUAACAUUUUUAAUUAGCAUUCUUGUUUGUUUACAUCUAGAGAUUGAAGGGAAAAAUAACUAAAAGCUUUGGAACAACUAUUGAGUCUGCACUUGCUCUAAGCUGGAAGAAAAUAAUUUUUCGUAUAUGUUUAAAAUUAUAUAACACGGUUCAGAUGUUGGUUCAGAUUACUGUUAAAAUGGCAUUCAAAUCUGGGAGUGUUUCUUGUUGGUUUUAUCCUUUUAAAAAUUUCCACUGUGCUUUUUUUCAUCUUUAAUUAAAUUUCAAUUCAUUUUAUAAUACUAAUUAAAGUAUUUACAUCAAGAAAUUCUAUCCAUUUGCAAAACUGCAAGAAAUUUUAACAUUUUCACAAGCAAGCAAACUUUUUAGAAGUUUUGCAAAAUCUUUAUCCUGUAUUUGUAAGGCAUUGAAGGGUAGAUCAUCAGCUGGUAUAAGUCAUUGUCAUUCACUGGAGUCAGAAGAGCAAUUUUGAUUUACAACAGUUUAGAAUUUUGCCAAUAAUCUAAUUAAUAUAAUCAAAACCAUGUACAGACACCAGAAUAAACAAUACCAAACAGUAAGGCAAGUAACCUAUCUUACAAUGAAAAUAAAAUGAAUGUCCCAGGCUUCUUAAAUCACUGUUUCAUUACAUAGCUUUGCUUUCUAUCAGCUUUGAUCUCCUUCAUUUCAUUAGGGCAAACUUGUCAUUAGAGGCAAGAAUUUCUUCCUAUGAAAUUGAUCUCACAUUCAGCACUGAUAGCUAGUGACUUUUUCCAGUUUCAGCUUUAGUCUUCCUAUACAGCACUUAAAAAAAUAAAAAUAAAAAUAAUAAUAAAAAAAACCAAACACAAAUUAUUACAUCAUAAGUAGAAGAACAUAUGGCAUGUCUAAAAGUGAGUACACAAUAAAUAUGUUUCUAAUAAAUACUUUGGUGCUGAGUAAAUUACAGAAGAGAGAAGACAAUAAACCACAAUUCUGCUAUUAAUUCCAUUUCUUAGCAUGGUAGCAGUUAUUAAAUUAGUUUAAUCAUAGUGAAGCAGUUGAGGUGCAGUAGCACUGCUUAUUACACUAGCCAUUAUCAUCUCACUGUUACCUUGGGCUUUCUUCAUCUGUUUUGUAUUCACCUUAUCUCUCAAAUGCAAUCUUGUAAGCUUUCUUAUUUUAUGUAAAAAAUGGGUGUAUUUUACAUUUCACAGCUGGGCCUUGAUAUUUGAUGCUGGCCUUUAGAUUUUGUCAAAAAUAAAUACUGAUUAUAAUAUUUGCAGAGCAACUGACAAAACUUUAGCCUCAGGAUAGAGCAUUGUACAAAAAUUUUACUUUGUUUAGCUUGGAUUGAUUCACAGAAUCAUAGAGAAGCAGAGAACAUGAAACUUACAAGAGCAUACCCACUGCAUACCAAUUUUAGCAAUUGUUGUACCCCAAGAUAAUUCUAGAGUGUUAGUGCAUUUUUUUCAUGAAGUUAUACUGGUUUAUUUGUGGUAUUCAUGAGUUCUAAGCAAUUGGACAAAUCAGAACAUUUCAGUGGGCUUCCUUAUCUGUAAUAAAAGUAAUGGAAGGCCUGCAUUUUAGCAUCUGACAAACACUGUGUUUAGGAGUGGAUUCUUAUAUCUGUAGGCUGGAAAAGUGGGGCUUCUGCAAAUACACUGUCCCAUUACAGCUUUCUAAUUAAAGAUCAGCUGCAGGAAACAGUAAAUUUAAAAUAGUGAUGACAAUAUUAAAACUUCCUGAGGAAGAAGGAGCCUGUUGAAGAUAAGGGGGCAAAUAUUGUAUCAGAAGAAAUAGAACUAAGUGCUCUAUGGUGACUCCAAAGUAUUGUGCAAGUAUUCACAGUGGGCUAUAGAUGAGAAUACGAAAAAGAUGAGUGUUAUAACAUCAAGGGGUAUGAAUGACAAACAGAUGCUAAGCAGACAAAUGAGCUAUGGCUGAAGGAGGCCAGUGCCGUUGUGUGUUGAGGGAAGAGAGAAGAGAGGAAGAGGUGGAUAAAAAAAAUAUAGCCCCAGAGAAAACUGAAAACCAUGCUGAGAAGUAGUCUGGAGAAGAUCACAGGAAACAGCUUAUGGAAUUAAAAACAUUUGGGAAAUUACAGCAGUUAGGAAGAAUUAAGUAUAAGUAAUGGUCAUCUAUGAAAAUAGAAACUUCAAAAAGGAAGGGACUGCAGCACAGAACCUGGAGGAGAAGAGCUAGAAAAUCAGAAGAUAUGAUCUCAGCAUGAAUAGAGACAUGCUAAGGACCCCAUGCAACAUAUCGGUCUCUAGGAAGACCUUUUAUGAACAGUUAACAAUAGGCUUUGGCAGCAGAGAGCAAGGAAAUGUCUGAGAGAGAGGAGUAUCUGACUGAAGUGAUGGUCUUACAUCAGUCCCAUCAUGACUGGGAAGAAUGUGUAUGAGAUAUAAAUAGCAUCUCAAUUUAUUUCAAGUGAAUAUAACUUGGUUUUCACUGAUACUCCUUACUUUUAAUUUGUUAAAGAUGCUGAGAUUGUAUAGAUACAUAUUAGCAUAAUUUACAACAUAAUGUAAAAUUACAUUGGAAGCAGAAGCACUAAAAUAGUGCAAAUGUAUUUUUUAUUUUCCUAAUGAAUUAACCAUUUAGAAAGUGUUAUUUUCAGACUUUGAUUACCCAUGUAAGCCUGGGGAAAUAUUUGUCAAGUAUUCAGAUCUAAGAAAUGGACCCAAGCAUAGAUAAGAAAAUGAAUUCAUAAUGAGAACAGAUGCUACAGACACAAAAGAUAUCUUCAAAAAUCGUAUAUGGCUUAAUCCCAUCAUCAUUUUCGGCACCAGAACUGACGGGAUAUGGAUACAACGGAAUCCUUAACUCAACCCUAUUGUGCUGGAACAGAACAGGAGCUUCAGAGCUGCUGGGGGCCUUACAUAUCGCAUAUGUGCUGCAACAGUGAAACAAAUUAUGAAACUCUGAAUUCUUGCUUUUGUGAGUUUGUGUCUCAUGCAUGGAGAGCAUUGAUUUUGCAAGGUGCUAGAGACGUGGCCUGUCUGUCUGCGAAUAGGACAAGACGGAUUAUUUUCUGAAGUUUGACAUUAAGACAAGGAUAUCUCCUUUUUUGGUCUGGCACUGCUAUUAAGUCUGCACAAGGAGGUUGAGUAAUAUUAGGGGGUUUAUAUAUGAAUUAACCAAUUUCAAUAAUGAUGUAUUUAUACUGAUAAAAACGUAAUUGUUAAUCUCACACAAUGCAGUGCUGUUCUCGUCUGGUUUAAAAUACAAUAGUAUAGAAAAUGCAAUUACGUUAAUGUGCAGAAUCUAACCCACCUCAGGUUUAGGCUGUACUGAAGAAAUAAUCACAAGGUUGAAGAUGCAUAUUCAAAGUUAUUUCACAGAGCCAGUCUGUAGAGGUAGUUAGUUUUGCAAAAUGUUUCAAAUGUACUGAAUAGGCUGGCAAAAAAAAUCUUAUCAUAUGACAAAAGAUGUAUGAGUUUUCACAGCCUCAGCACUGCAGUCCCACUAGUAAUACAGAGGCAGGUUACAUUAGUUGCUAUUGAGUUGAAUCUGCUUUUGGAUAACCUCCAUGGGUUUACUCCAAGAGCAAAAUGCUAUUCAGUGUAACAAGCUAAACCUUUAGCUGUUCAGAAAAUAAAUGCUGUGUUAAGUUUAAUUACUUUAGCCACCCACUGAUGAUCUGAAAAAAAUCUUUUAACAAACCAAGUAUUCUCAGCUAGGCUGUUGCCUUGGCUCUAUGAUUUCUCACUGUAUAGCCAUAUGGAAGUGCUGCGAUCGGAGUUUAGAUCCUUCGUUCUUUAGGCAGGUAAUGAAACAUAGAAGCUAUUUCUCCUUACCUUAAAUUUUGGUUUAGUGACAUUAUCAGAUUUAUAAAGAUGAGCUGAAUCUAUCUCUGCCAAUACAGAGAAGCGAGCAGAGGGAAAAGAUGUCAUUACAAAUAAAAGAGGUCAAUAAUUACGGAUGUCGUGGUUUAGCCCCAGUCAGCAACCAAGCACCACGCAGCCGCUCGCUCACUCCCCCCUGGUGGGACGGCGGAGACAAUUGGAAGAGUAAAAGUGAGGCAGCUCAUGGUUUGAGAUAAAGACAGUUUAACAGGUAAAGCAAAAGCUGCACGUGGACGCAAAGCAAAACAAUGAAUUAAUUCACUACUUCCCAUGGGCAGGCAGGUGUUCAGCCACCUCCAGGAGAGCAGGGCUCCAUCACACGUAACGGUUACUUGGGAAGACAAAUGCCAUUACUCCAAAUGUCCCCCCUUCCUUCUUCUUCCCCAGCUUUAUAUACUGAGCAUGAUGCCAUAUGGUAUGGAAUAUCCCGUUGGUCAGUUUGGGUCAGCUGCCCUGUCUGUGUCCCCGCCCAGUUUCUUGUGCACCCGGCAGAGCACGGGGAGCUGAAAAAGUCCUUGAGUAGUGUAAGUGCUACUUAGCAACAACUAAAACAUCUCCACAUUAUCACCACUGUUUCCAGCAAAAAUCCAAAACCUAGGUCCAUACUAGCUACUACAAAGAAACUUAACUCUACCCCAGCUGAAACCAGGACAACAGACCAAAUCCUGAUUUGACUGAAGUGGAACAAAUGACAUCACUUUCAAUAAAAUGAAUAGCUGCAAAUCAUUGACAGUAAAGCCUAAUAAAAUG